rnacentral:rRNA from 1 species
UACAGAGGUGGCAAGCGUUGUUCGGAAUUACUGGGCGUAAAGGGCGCGUAGGCGGCCUUCUAAGUCAGACGUGAAAUCCCCCGGCUUAACCUGGGAACUGCGUCUGAUACUGGGAGGCUAGAGUAUGGGAGAGGGAUGUAGAAUUCCAGGUGUAGCGGUGAAAUGCGUAGAUAUCUGGAGGAACACCGGUGGCGAAGGCGGCAUCCUGGACCGACACUGACACUGAGGAGCGAAAGCCAGGGGAGCAAACGGG